UGGUGAAAUGAACUUCUAGGCAGCAA
rnacentral:piRNA from 2 species